AUGGCGCUGCAGAACAUUGGCGCUUCGAACAAGGAUGACGCCUUCUACAGGUACAAGAUGCCCAAAAUGCUAACCAAGAUAGAAGGCCAUGGUAAUGGCAUCAAGACAAACAUCGUGAACAUGGUUGACAUAGCGAAAGCACUUGCCAGGCCAGCUUCCUACACAACAAAGUACUUUAGCUGCAAGCUUGGGGCGCAGUAUAAAUUUGAUGACAAGACAGGAGUUUCCAUAGUCAAUGGUGCCCAUGACACUGCAAAGCUGGCUGGCCUUCUUGAGAACUUCAUCAACAAGUAUGUUCAGUGCUAUAAGUGUGGCAACCCUGAAACAGAGGUUGUCAUCUCGGAGAAACAGACGCUGUCUCUGAAAUGUGCUGCCUGUGGCUUCAUCUCGGAUGUUGACAUGAGGGACAAGCUCGCUACAUUCAUCGUGAAGAACCCACCAGAGCAGAAGAAGGGAGGCAAGGACAAGAAAGCUAUGCGAAGGGCUGAGAAGGAGCGACUCAAGGAAGGUCAGGCUGCUGAUGAGGAGAUGAAGAAACUCAAGAAGGAUGGGAAGAAGAAAGGUGCUGCAUCCAAGGACAGCACUGCAAAACGUGUUGCUGCAAAGAAAAAUGCUACCACUGAUGGUUCUGAUGAAGAACAUGCAAUCUCGCCAACUUACAGUCAAGGUGCUCACUUUGCGGCUGCUGCAGACGACGACGACGACGAUGAUGACGUGGAGUGGCAGACUGACACGUCAGCAGAGGCUGCGAGAAAGCGCAUGGAGGAGCAGCUGAGUGCGGCGACUGCCGAGAUGGUCAUGCUUGCCACCGAAAAGGCAGAGAAGAAGAAGAGGAAGAAACAGGCCAAAAUGACUCCAUAUGAUGAACUGGUCGAGGAGAUCAAGGCCAGCUUGGGCAAUGCCGCCACUCCUGCUCAGAUCAAGGCUGUGCUGUCCUCCUCAACCCUCCCCGCCAAGGACGCGAUGCACGCCCUCUUUGAGGCGCUCUUCCACGGUGCGGGCAAGGGGUUUGCAAAGGACGUCAAGAAGAACAAUGACUACCUUGCUGCUGCCGUGCCUGAUGAAGGGGCCCAGAUGCUGCUGCUCCAGGCCAUCGAGGCGUUCUGCGGCAAGUGCAGCGCCGAGGCCCUGAAGGAGGUGCCGGUGGUCCUGAAAUGCCUGUAUGACGGCGACGUCCUCGAGGAAGAAGCCAUUGUCCAGUGGUACGUUGAAGCUGUUGCUGCCGGCAAGGACUCCCAGGUUGUGAAGAAUGCCAGGCCGUUUGUGGUCUGGCUCCAGGUCGCCGAAGCGGACGAGGAGUGA
rnacentral:rRNA from 1 species